rnacentral:rRNA from 1 species
GUUUGACCUCAAAUCAGGUAGGAAAGCUCAAAUUUGAAAUCUGGUACCUUCGGUGCCCGAGUUGUAAUUUGGAGAGGGCAACUUUGGGUUUGUAAAGUGCCUUCGAAGAGUCGCUAAGUGGGUGGUCCAUCUAAAGCUAAUAGUCGAUCCUAAGAGAUGGGGAAGCUCCGUUUCAAAGGCCUGAUUUUAUGCAGGCCACCAUCGAAAGGGAAUCCUUCCGGAACCUGGAUAUGGAUUCUUCACACUGAAUGUGGAGAAAAUCCACAGGAAGGAAUAGUUUUCAUGCCAGGUCGUA